UUAAAAAGCUCGUAGUUGGAUUUCUGGGAGGGUGCCAAUGUCCGUCGACGUACGUGUUGCAGCGGCGCCUUUCCAUCCUUCUGUUAACGGCUCACGGCAUUCAUUUGCUGGUGUCGGGCUCAGAUAUUUUACCUUGAGAAAAUUAGAGUGUUUCAGGCAGGCUAGGCCGGAAUACAUUAGCAUGGAAUAAUGGAAUAGGACUACGGUCUCUUUGUUGGUUUGAGGGACUGCAGUAAUGAUUAAUAGGGAUAGUUGGGGGCAUUAGUAUUUAAUUGUCAGAGGUGGAAUUCUCGGAUUUGUUAAAGACUAACUUAUGCGAAAGCAUUUGCCAAGGAUGUUUUCAUUAAUCAAGAACGAAAGUUAGGGGAUCAAAGACGAUCAGAUACCGUCCUAGUCUUAACCAUAAACUAUGCCGACUCGGGAUCGGGGGCGCGAACUAUCCGCCUUCGGCACCGUAUGAGAAAUCAAAGUCUUUGGGUUCUGGGGGGAGUAUGG
rnacentral:rRNA from 1 species